CUCCUCCCACACAUGAUCACAUGGUCAUGACAUCAUCCCAGGUCCUUUACUUCCUCCUGCAGCACAUCCUGGAGUCUGACUCCUGCACAUGGUGGUAGAAAUAGAAACACUGGAUGCGCCAUGGUGAAGGAUUGUCAGAGGAAGAGGAGGACACGCCCCGCCCAGGUUCCUACAAUAUAGGAUCCGCUCGGUGGAUAUCUUCUAUAUAAGAUCCUUCUCCUCAUUGACCCAUCAAAGAUGGAUAGGGACAAGGACAAGAUGGCAGAGAGGAUAAUAAAUCUCACCCUAGAGAUCCUCUUCCGGCUUACUGGAGAGGACUACACAGUAGUGAAGAAGACCUCUAGUGAGCGCUGUCAGGCCCCUGUGUUUGAAGGAUGGGGAAGAACCCUGAGCACAAUCACGGGGCCCCCACCUCACCUCCUGAUACAUGAGGAAAUCAAU